AUUGAACGCUGGCGGCAUGCUUUACACAUGCAAGUCGAACGGCAGCGCGGGCUUCGGCCUGGCGGCGAGUGGCGAACGGGUGAGUAAUAUAUCGGAACGUACCCAAGAGUGGGGAUAACGUAGCGAAAGUUACGCUAAUACCGCAUACGAUCUAAGGAUGAAAGCAGGGGAUCGCAAGACCUUGUGCUCCUGGAGCGGCCGAUAUCUGAUUAGCUAGUUGGUGGGGUAAAGGCCCACCAAGGCAACGAUCUGUAGCUAGUCUGAGAGGACGACCAGCCACACUGGGACUGAGACACGGCCCAGACUCCUACGGGAGGCAGCAGUGGGGAAUUUUGGACAAUGGGCGCAAGCCUGAUCCAGCCAUGCCGCGUGCGGGAAGAAGGCCUGGUUGUAACCGCUUUGUCAGGGAAGAAAGGUUACUGGAUAAUACCUGGGACGUCAUGACGGUACCGUGAAGAAUAAGCACCGGCUAACUACGU
rnacentral:rRNA from 1 species